CCCAGACUCCUACGGGAGGCAGCAGUGGGGGAUAUUGCACAAUGGGGGAAACCCUGAUGCAGCGACGCCGCGUGAGUGAAGAAGUAUUUCGGUAUGUAAAGCUCUAUCAGCAGGGAAGAAAAUGACAGUACCUGACCAAGAAGCCCCGGCUAACUACGUGCCAGCAGCCGCGGUAAUACGUAGGGGGCAAGCGUUAUCCGGAUUUACUGGGUGUAAAGGGAGCGUAGACGGUGAUGCAAGUCAGAAGUGAAAGCCCGGGGCUCAACUCCGGGACUGCUUUUGAAACUGUGUGACUGGAGUGCAGGAGAGGUAAGCGGAAUUCCUGGUGUAGCGGUGAAAUGCGUAGAUAUCAGGAGGAACACCAGCGGCGAAGGCGGCUUACUGGACUGUAACUGACGUUGAGGCUCGAAAGCGUGGGGAGCAAACAGGAUUAGAUACCCUCGUA
rnacentral:rRNA from 1 species